rnacentral:snoRNA from 1 species
UACAAUGUCUUAUAGGCACCCAGAGUCACGGUUCAAAAUUAUUCUUCCUUAGUUGAGCAAAGCAUGGCCUUGUCAUGUUUUUUCGUGCUCGCGGUAGCCUUAGAUCAAACCAUAAAAGUUUAUCCAAAGUGAUGCUUUUAGUUUUGACCAACCUUUGAAUGUCGUGUCUUUCUUAUUGUUUGACUACGCGGUUCUAAACGUACAUGC